GGAUUAGGCAUGCAAGUCGAGCGCUCAUAGCAAUAUGGGAGCGGCGAACGGCGUAGGAAUUCAUAGGAACGUACCCUCAGGACGGGGAUAGCUACGGGAAACUGUAGGUAAUACCCGAUGAUCUCCGCGGAGCAAAGGUGUGAUUCCGCCUGAGGAGCGGCUUAUGCGAUAUUAGCUAGUUGGUGGGGUAAUGGCCUACCAAGGCGAAGAUGUCUAGGGGGUGUGAGAGCAUGGCCCCCACGACCGGAACUGAGAUACUGUCCGGACACCUACGGGUGGCUGCAGUCGAGAAUCUUCCGCAAUGGGCGAAAGCCUGACGGAGCGACGCCGCGUGAGGGAUGAAGGCCUUCGGGUUGUAAAGCCCUGUCGAGGGGGAGAAAAGGGUAAAACUUUGAUCUAUCCCUGGAGGAAGCUCGGGCUAAGUUCGUGCCAGCAGCCGCGGUAAUA
rnacentral:rRNA from 1 species